UACGAAGGGGGGCUAGCGUUGCUCGGAAUUACUGGGCGUAAAGGGCGCGUAGGCGGAUAGUUUAGUCAGAGGUAAAAGCCCAGGGCUCAACCUUGGAACUGCCUUUGAUACUGGCUAUCUUGAGUUCGGGAGAGGUGAGUGGAAUGCCGAGUGUAGAGGUGAAAUUCGUAGAUAUUCGGCGGAACACCAGUGGCGAAGGCGACUCACUGGCCCGAUACUGACGCUGAGGCGCGAAAAGCGUGGGGGAGCAAACAGGG
rnacentral:rRNA from 1 species